rnacentral:lncRNA from 1 species
CACAAUUCCACUUUCAAAUCACUUCACCAUUCACCAUAGACACAAGGAAACACACACACACUGGGAGAUCCUAUAACCGACAUAAACCAUGUGAGCUACAUGGAGUCCAACGUACAACCCACGUUGGGGAGAGCCGUCCUAUCCUUGCCAUCGGAGUAGGACUAUCGAUAUCAAAUCCACACAAACUAGUGAUCACUAUAUAAAUC